AGUGAACGCUGGCGGUAGGCCUAACACAUGCAAGUCGAACGGCAGCACAGUAAGAGCUUGCUCUUACGGGUGGCGAGUGGCGGACGGGUGAGGAAUACAUCGGAAUCUACUUUUUCGUGGGGGACAGCGUAGGGAAACUUACGCUAAUACCGCAUACGACCUACGGGUGAAAGCAGGGGAUCUUCGGACCUUGCGCGAUUGAAUGAGCCGAUGUCGGAUUAGCUAGUUGGCGGGGUAAAGGCCCACCAAGGCGACGAUCCGUAGCUGGUCUGAGAGGAUGAUCAGCCACACUGGAACUGAGACACGGUCCAGACUCCUACGGGAGGCAGCAGUGGGGAAUAUUGGACAAUGGGCGCAAGCCUGAUCCAGCCAUACCGCGUGGGUGAAGAAGGCCUUCGGGUUGUAAAGCCCUUUUGUUGGGAAAGAAAAGCAGCAGGUUAAUACCCCGCUGUUCUGACGGUACCCAAAGAAUAAGCACCGGCUAACUUCGUG
rnacentral:rRNA from 1 species